GAGCCCUGGCCAGGGGCUCAAUCAGUUGGAUGAACAGUGGGUGGGUUUGUGAUGGAGACUCAGGGCUGUGUGUUGGCACUGCCAGGCUGAGUCUCUGGGCUCAGGGCAUGGCUGUAGCUGAGAGUCUACACUGUCCUGGGUCCCCCAGACUCAAAACAUCACUGUGGCUGAGAGUCUGCACUGUCCCGGGUCCUCCCCGGGUCCCCCCGGGCUCAGGGCAUGGCCGUGGCUGAGAGUUUACACUGUCCCGGGUCCCCCAGAUGCAAAACAUCACUGUGGCUGAGAGUCUACACUGUCCCAGGUCCUCCCCGGGUCCCCCCGGGCUCAGGGCAUGGCUGUGGCUGAGAGUCUACACUGUCCCGGGUCCUCCCCUGGUCCCCCCGGGCUCAGGGCAUGGCCGUGGCUGAGAGUCUACACUGGGUCCUCCCCGACUUCCCCGCUGGGUCUGGUGAUCGGGGUUCUUCCUGUUCUGUGUGACUGGCAGCCUCUGGUCUGCGUCGGGCUCCCUGGGCUCUGCUGUCUGGGUCAGCUUCUGCUGUGAGAUGCUGUGGAAGGAAAGCCCACGUGGACGGCUCGUGACGGCCACCGUCUGUUCAUGCUCCAUGCAGCUGUAGUCACUUGGGCUCAGCUUGGGGUAAGGUCCGGCCUGACCCCUACCUCCUCCUCCUGGGCCAACCGCCCCUGGCUUGCUCUGCUCCUGGUGUGGGCAGAGCACAAGACGAAAGCCCUAUGCACCAGGGUCAUCCAGGAGCCAGAUGGAGACAGGAACAAGGCCCAGAAGGACGGCAGGGGCUCACACCACUUCCCCUGCACCCUGGCAGGCAGCCACACCGAGUCGGGGCAGGAAAAACAUGCUGGGCCGCCUCCUGGAAGGCUCUGCAGAGGAUCCUGUGGAGGAUUCUGAUGGGCGGAUCCUGGGGAAGGGGUUGGAAGCCCAGAUCCCACCCGCUGAACCUGCCUCUGGGGUCUCUGGACAGCUCCUGGCUGCCCAGACAUGACCUGUGCUGGCCAGGGCGGUGGCUUCAGUCUCCCCCAAGGCUCCACUUGGCGUGACCCUGACCACGUGGGCCGGGACGUGGGGCCUUCUGAUCACCUGGCGUGACCCUGACCAUGUGGGCCGGGACGUGGGGCCUUCUGAUCACCUGGCGUGACCCUGACCACAUGGGCUGGUACGUAGGGCCUUCUGAUCACCUGGCGUGACCCUGACCACGUGGGUCGGGACGUGGGGCCUUCUGAUCACCUGGCGUGACCCUGACCACGUGGGUCGGGACAUGGGGGCUUCUGAUCACCUGGCGUGACCCUGACCACGUGGGCCGGGACGUGGGGCCUUCUGAUCACCUGGUGUGACCCCUGACCACGUGGGCCGGGACGUGGGGCCUUCUGAUCACCUGGUGUGACCCUGACCACGUGGGCCGGGACGUGGGGCCUUCUGAUCACCUGGUGUGACCCUGACCACGUGGGUCGGGACGUGGGGGCUUCUGAUCACCUGGCGUGACCCUGACCACGUGGGCCGGGACGUGGGGCCUUCUGAUCACCUGGUGUGACCCCUGACCACGUGGGCCGGGACGUGGGGCCUUCUGAUCACCUGGUGUGACCCCUGACCACGUGGGUCGGGACGUGGGGCCUUCUGAUCACCUGGCGUGACCCUGACCACGUGGGCUGGGACGUGGGGCCUUCUGAUCACCUGGUGUGACCCCUGACCACGUGGGCCGGGACGUGGGGCCUUCUGAUCACCUGGUGUGACCCCUGACCACGUGGGUCGGGACGUGGGGGCUUCUGAUCACCUGGCGUGACCCUGACCACGUGGGCCGGGACGUGGGGCCUUCUGAUCACCUGGCGUGACCCUGACCACGUGGGCUGGGACGUGGGGCCUUCUGAUCACCUGGUGUGACCCCUGACCACGUGGGCCGGGACGUGGGGGCUUCUGAUCACUUGGCGUGACCCUGACCACGUGGGCCGGGACGUGGGGGCUUCUGAUCACCUGGUGUGACCCCUGACCACGUGGGCCGGGACAUAGGACCUUCUGAUGCCUUUUGGGCCCUUGGGUCCUUGAGUGGUUCUUCCAGGAGGGCCUCUGGGGGAGUCUGGAGUGUGCCCGCAUGUCAGGGGAGAGCUUUGCUGUCAUCUGGCGUGAAACACAGCAUCUGGGACAGAAUUCCAGGUUUUGCCUGGAAUGGGGGCCCUGGAGUCCCUGCGCAGUCACCCCUGCCGUCCUUCUGGGCCUUGUUCCUUUCUCCGUCUCACUCCUGGAUGACCCGUCAGCCUCCGCACUGUCACAUUUGUGGUUCGGGGGGUCACGGCGCUUUCUGCCUCUUGAAGCACCAGUCCCCCUCAGAGCCUCAGUUUCUCCACUAUGAAGCAGGGAUACCUGUGUCUCCCUUGACACAGCGCCUGACCUGGGGGCAUCCCUGGUGAGCCCUGCGUCCAGCCCCACCCUGCCUGCCGUGGGCCCUGCGAAGUGCUGGGCAGUGGACAUGGCCACUGUGUCACAGACAAGAUGAGGCCCAGGGACCUGAGCCAGUCGUGGCCCAUGCCCAUGCCCACAAUGCCAGCCCUCCCUGGCCCCACUGAGCAAGGGGCUCUUCUAUGCCUCAGGGAGGGGGCACCUGGCCACCAGUGGUCCCUGCAGACGACACAGCUGGAGUAGGACAGGCCACCCACAGCCUGCCCAGAAAUGUGGGACGGGAAUCUCAGGCCUCACACCCGCCCCAGGCAGGCAUGGCCCCUGGGCCCUCAGCCCUGUCCGACGCCCCGGGAAUGUAUGGUAACGUCCGAUCCGCGGCGGCCGCACUCCUCCGCAGGCUGAG
rnacentral:lncRNA from 1 species